rnacentral:tRNA from 1 species
GGAGAGGUGUCCGAGCUGGCCUAAGGAGCACGAUUGGAAAUCGUGUGUACCGGCUAAAACCGGUACCGAGGGUUCGAAUCCCUCCCUCUCCG